rnacentral:rRNA from 1 species
AAUCAACGCUGGCGGCGUGCCUCAGACAUGCAAGUCGAGCGAUUAAAGCUCUCUUCGGAGAGUGUAUAAAGCGGCGUACGGGUGAGUAACACGUAAGUAAUCUACCUUCGAGUGGGGAAUAACAGUCGGAAACGACUGCUAAUACCGCAUAAUGCAGCGGCACCUAAUGGUGACAGUUGUUAAAGCAUUUAUGCGCUUGAAGAGGAGCUUGCGGCAGAUUAGCUUGUUGGUAAGGUAAUGGCUUACCAAGGCUACGAUCUGUAUCCGGUCUAAGAGGACGGUCGGACACACUGACACUGAAUAACGGGUCAGACUCCUACGGGAGGCAGCAGUCGGGAAUUUUGGGCAAUGGGCGAAAGCCU